ACGGAGGGUGCAAGCGUUAUCCGGAAUCAUUGGGUUUAAAGGGUCCGCAGGCGGAUGUAUAAGUCAGUGGUGAAAGCCUACAGCUUAACUGUAGAACUGCCAUUGAUACUGUACGUCUUGAAUUCGGUCGAAGUGGGCGGAAUAUGUCAUGUAGCGGUGAAAUGCUUAGAUAUGACAUAGAACACCGAUAGCGAAGGCAGCUCACUAGGCCUGGAUUGACGCUCAGGGACGAAAGCGUGGGGAGCGAACAGGAUUAGAUACCCUGGUAGUCCACGCCGUAAACUAUCAAUACUCGUUUUCGGCGAUAUACGGUCGGAGACUAAGCGAAAGUGAUAAGUAUUGCACCUGGGGAGUACGAUCGCAAGGUUG
rnacentral:rRNA from 1 species